GGCACUGUGGCUUAAGUGGUAGAGCACUAGCCUUUUGAGCUAAAGAGCUGAGGGACAAUGCCCAGUCCCA
rfam:Dipodomys ordii contig_55546, whole genome shotgun sequence.